GUCUGCAGCCAUACAACUAUGAACACAUCUGAUCUAGUCUGAUCUUGGAAGCUAAGCAGAGUCAGGUCUAGUUAGUGCUUGGACAGGAGAGAAUACAAACAGGAUGAAGGUC
rnacentral:rRNA from 1 species